rnacentral:rRNA from 1 species
ACCGUGAGGGAAUGGUGAAAAGUACCCCGGGAGGGGAGUGAAAUAGUACCUGAAACCGUGUGCCUGUAAGCCGUCAGAGCCUUGUGGGGUGAUGGCGUGCCUUUUGAAGAAUGAGCCUGCGAGUUAGUGAUACGUGGCGUGCUUAACCCGUGUGGGGUAUGCGUAGCGAAAGCGAGUCUGAAAUAUUUGGCGUUUGUCGCGUGUUCUAGACCCGAAGCGGGGUGAUCUACCCAUGGUCAGGUUGAAGCAGAGGUAAGACUGUGUGGAGGACCGAACCCACCAGGGUUGAAAACCUGGGGGAUGAACUGUGGGUAGGGGUGAAAGGCCAAUCAAACUCCGUGAUAGCUGGUUCUCCCCGAAAUGCAUUUAGGUGCAGCGUUGCGUGGUCCCUGGUGGAGGUAGAGCUACUGGAUGGCCGAUGGGCCCUGUGGGUUACUGACGUCAGCCAAACUCCGAAUGCCAUUAGGUGUAGCGUGGCAGUGAGACUGCGGGGGAUAAGCUUCGUAGUCGAGAGGGAAACAGCCCAGAUCAUCAGCUAAGGCCCCUAAGCGUACGCUAAGUGGGAAAGGAUGUGGAGUCGCGGUGACAACCAGGAGGUUGGCUUAGAAGCAGCCAUCCUUGAAAGAGUGCGUAAUAGCUCACUGGUCAAGUGGUUCUGCGCCGACAAUGUAGCGGGGCUCAAGCGUACCGCCGAAGCUGUGGCAACAACACGAUUGUGCUGGCGCCAGGAACUGGAGUGCUGGUGUGUUGUUGGGUAGGGGAGCGUCCUGCACGAGGUGAAGCCUGGAGGUGACUUCUGGUGGAUUGUGUGGGAGUGAGAAUGCAGGCAUGAGUAACGAAUCUGCGGUGAGAAUCCGCAGCGCCGAUUGACUAAGGGUUCCAGGGCUAGGUUUAUCCGCCCUGGGUUAGUCGGGUCCUAAGGCGAGGCCGACAGGCGUAGUCGAUGGACAACCAGUUGAUAUUCUGGUACCAGGUUGUGACCGCCCAUGCUGAGGUCAUUGUGCUAACCAAUCUGCCCGCACCUCUUCGUGGCUUUCGGGCCGCGAGCGUGUGUGUGGGUCUUGGGGUCCCGGUGAUGGUAGGCAAGCGUGUUAACAGGGGUGACGCAGACAGGUAGCUGCAGUGCGCCGAUGGUUGUGCGUAUUUAAGGUUGUGGCCCGUCUCCCAGGUAAAUCCGGGGGGCACCCAGGGUGAGAACUGAUGAGGGUGACACGGUUGUGUUGUCUUGUGGUGAUCCUAUGCUGCCAAGAAAAGCCUCGACGUGAGGGCAUGACGCGCCCGUACCCUAAACCGACUCAGGUGGUCAGGUAGAGUAUACCGAGGCGUUCGAGUGAAUCAUGGUUAAGGAACUCGGCAAAAUUCCUCCGUAACUUCGGGAUAAGGAGGACCCCUUGACUUCCCCGCGCCCAGCGCGCUGGUGGGGUUGGGGGGUCGCAGAGAAUAGGGAGAAGCGACUGUUUAUCAAAAACACAGGUGCGUGCGAAGCCGUAAGGCGAUGUAUACGCACUGACGCCUGCCCGGUGCUGGAAGGUUAAGAGGAACUGUUAACAUUCUUUGUGGGUGUGAAGCGGUGAAUUUAAGCCCCAGUAAACGGCGGUGGUAACUAUAACCAUCCUAAGGUAGCGAAAUUCCUUGUCGGGUAAGUUCCGACCUGCACGAAUGGCGUAACGACUUCUCCGCUGUCUCAACCGUGAACUCGGUGAAAUUGCAGUACGAGUAAAGAUGCUCGUUUCGCGCAGAAGGACGGAAAGACCCCGGGACCUUUACUAUAGCUUGGUAUUGGUGUUCGCUUGGACUUGUGUAGGAUAGGUGGGAGACUGUGAAGCUGCCGCGCCAGCGGUGGUGGAGUCGUCGUUGAAAUACCAUUCUGGUUCAAGCGGUCACCUUAACCUUGGCCCGUGAUCCGGGUUGGGGACAGUGCCUGGUGGGUAGUUUAACUGGGGCGGUUGCCUCCUAAAAUGUAACGGAGGCGCUCAAAGGUUCCCUCAGCCUGGUUGGUAAUCAGGUGGCGAGUGCAAGUGUACAAGGGAGCUUGACUGUGAGACCGACGGGUCGAGCAGGUGCGAAAGCAGGAACUAGUGAUCCGGCCAUGGCACGUGGGUGCGUGGUCGCUCAACGGAUAAAAGGUACCCCGGGGAUAACAGGCUGAUCUUGCCCAAGAGUCCAUAUCGACGGCAUGGUUUGGCACCUCGAUGUCGGCUCGUCGCAUCCUGGGGCUGGAG